CCUACGGGAGGCAGCAGUGAGGAAUAUUGGUCAAUGGUCGGGAGACUAAACCAGCCAAGCCGCGUGAGGGAUGAAGGUACAGAGUAUCGUAAACCUCUUUUGUCAGGGAACAAAGGCGGGGACGUGUCCCCGGAUGAGUGUACCUGAAGAAAAAGCAUCGGCUAACUCCGUGCCAGCAGCCGCGGUAAUACGGAGGAUGCGAGCGUUAUCCGGAUUUAUUGGGUUUAAAGGGUGCGCAGGGGGUCUGUUAAGUCAGCCGUCAAAGGUCGGGGCUCAACCCCGGGCCCGCCGUUGAAACUGGCAGUCUCGAGUUGGAGAGAGGUAUGCGGAAUGCGCGGUGUAGCGGUGAAAUGCAUAGAUAUCGCGCAGAACUCCGAUUGCGAAGGCAGCAUGCCGACUCCACACUGACGCUGAGGCACGAAAGCGUGGGUAUCGAACAGGAUUAGAUACCCUUGUAGUC
rnacentral:rRNA from 1 species